AGCAAAACGAUCUCUCUCAAGACGAGCAACGCGUCGUCUUCCUGAUGCACACAAAGGAUCUCCUUUUGGAAACUUCUCGUUGAUGAGUUCUAGGGUUUCUCAAGGUUGCCACACACCUCUCGUGUCCCACAAGAAGUCUAUAUAUACCUCCCAAUCUCUUACUUUGAUUAGGGCUUCCAAAAAACCUUGGCUUGAACCCGGUUCAUAACUCAGCCUCGCGUGAAAAUCGUGCUCGAGUCGACUCCCGCAAUUCUGCGAGUCGACUCGGCCACAGUCCACAGAAAAAGCCUCUCUGUCUGCCUGUGGGAGUCGACUCCUGGAGUUCUCGAGUCGACUC
rnacentral:lncRNA from 1 species